rnacentral:rRNA from 1 species
AUUGAACGCUAGCGGGAUGCUUUACACAUGCAAGUCGAACGGCAGCGCGGACUUCGGUCUGGCGGCGAGUGGCGAACGGGUGAGUAAUGUAUCGGAACGUGCCCAGUAGCGGGGGAUAACUACGCGAAAGCGUAGCUAAUACCGCAUACGCCCUACGGGGGAACGCAGGGGAUCGUAAGACCUUGCACUAUUGGAGCGGCCGAUAUCGGAUUAGCUAGUUGGUGAGGUAACGGCUCACCAAGGCGACGAUCCGUAGCUGGUUUGAGAGGACGACCAGCCACACUGGGACUGAGACACGGCCCAGACUCCUACGGGAGGCAGCAGUGGGGAAUUUUGGACAAUGGGGGCAACCCUGAUCCAGCCAUCCCGCGUGUGCGAUGAAGGCCUUCGGGUUGUAAAGCACUUUUGGCAGGAAAGAAACGUCGCGGGCUAAUACCCCGUGGAACUGACGGUACCUGCAGAAUAAGCACCGGCUAACUACGUG